AUUGAACGCUGGCGGCAGGCUUAACACAUGCAAGUCGAGCGGAGAUGAGGUGCUUGCACCUUAUCUUAGCGGCGGACGGGUGAGUAAUGCUUAGGAAUCUGCCUAUUAGCGGGGGACAACAUUCCGAAAGGAAUGCUAAUACCGCAUACGUCCUACGGGAGAAAGCAGGGGAUCUUCGGACCUUGCGCUAAUAGAUGAGCCUAAGUCGGAUUAGCUAGUUGGUGGGGUAAAGGCCUACCAAGGCGACGAUCUGUAGCGGGUCUGAGAGGAUGAUCCGCCACACUGGGACUGAGACACGGCCCAGACUCCUACGGGAGGCAGCAGUGGGGAAUAUUGGACAAUGGGGGAACCCUGAUCCAGCCAUGCCGCGUGUGUGAAGAAGGCCUUAUGGUUGUAAAGCACUUUAAGCGAGGAGGAGGCUACUGAGACUAAUACUCUUGGAUAGUGGACGUUACUCGCAGAAUAAGCACCGGCUAACUCUGUGCCAGCCGCCGCCGUAAGAC
rnacentral:rRNA from 1 species